UAACUUAAAAGGAAAGAUAAGUGUUGGAAACCUUUUACCAGGAAUUGAAGGGAUUGUUAUUGAUGAAGAAGGAAAAAGACUUGGUCCAGGAGAGGUUGGAGAACUUUGCUUUACAGCGCCUUAUCGUUUUACUGGCUAUCUGAAAAAUCCAGAAGCAACCAAUGCUUACACAACCAACGAUGGAUUUAUGCGUAGUGGAGACUUAGGAUUCUUUGAUGAAGAUGGUCUUCUCUAUGUAACAGGACGAUGUAAGGAUGUCAUGAAGUACUUUUCCUCUCAUGUAUCGGGAACUGAAAUUGAGAGAGUCGUCAAGACGCAUCCUAGCGUAUCUGAUGUAGUCGCAGUUGGGAUUCCCGAUGAGAAAUAUUCCCAUCUUCCUGCAGUUUUAAUUAUCCUAAAAGAAGGAUCAGCCGUUGCAGCCGAAGAGAUUUCAGACCUCGUUGCAGAGAAGCUUCCUGAUUCCCAUAAACUUCGUGGAGGAGUUUACUUUGUUGAUGAAUUUCCUGUAACAUCAUCUGGGAAAGUGAAAAAAAUUGAAGCAGAGAAAUAUGCUGAAAACAUGUUUAGGCGUCUCAACCAUAUUUAGAGAACAUAUCCUGCUACGCAUAUUUUUCUCUAUGAAUAAAAGCCUUUCACUUCAAUGAUUACGAUUAUAGCACCAUUAGGUUUGUAGAAGCAUCAAAACAAU